rnacentral:rRNA from 1 species
UACGAGGGUGCAGCGUUAAUCGGAAUUACUGGGCGUAAAGCGCGUGUAGGCGGUUUGAUUAGUCUGAUGUGAAAGCCCUGGGCUCAACCCAAGAAGUGCAUUGGAAACUGUCAGACUUGAAUACGGGAGAGGGCAGUGGAAUUCCUAGUGUAGGAGUGAAAUCCGUAGAUAUUAGGAGGAACACCGGUGGCGAAGGCGGCUGCCUGGACCGAUAUUGACGCUGAGACGCGAAAGCGUGGGUAGCAAACAGGAUUAGAUACCCUGGUAGU